AAGCAAUAGACAAAUAAAAAGCUGUCCUUGACUCAUGUGAAACACAAUUAUGAAGCGAAAACAGCAAAGGUACCCCCUCCAGCAAUCUGCGAACCCCGACUUCGGCAACCUAGGGUGUAGAGUGAGAAGCUCGGCCAUCCAGGAGGGGCUCUGAGUGCCUCCCGGACGCCUCCCCAGUGAAGUGCUCCGGGCAUGCCCAGCCAGGAAGAGGCCCCGGGGCAGACCUAGGACACACUGGAGGAAUUAUAUCUGACUGCUGGCCUGGGAACACCUUGGUGCCUUGGAACUGGAAAAGAUGAGACCAGGAAGUCUCUGCUUCCCGACUGAGACUGCUGCCCCCGCGACCCAAACCCGGAUAAGCGGAAGAAAAUGGAUGGAUGGAUCGUGAUGCUCUGAAUGGAUUUUGUGCAAGAAACAUUGGUGAAGCUGAUUUGCAGUGGAAAUAGGCUCUCGAUGACAUUUCAACAGCUUAAUGCUGCACAUAUGCUCAGUUGAUCCUUCAAUGUGACUUCACUGUUAUGAAUGUCUGUUAUUAAAUAUUACUUGAACACACGUGUCCAAUUAGAGUUCCAGUUAACUGUGC